GACGAACGCUGGCGGCGUGCUUAACACAUGCAAGUCGAACGCUGAAGACCUGGCUUUUGUUGGGUUGGAUGAGUGGCGAACGGGUGAGUAACACGUGAGUAACCUGCCCUCUUCUUUGGGAUAACGCCCGGAAACGGGUGCUAAUACUGGAUAUUCACUGCUCUUCGCAUGGGGGUUGGUGGAAAGGUUUGUUCUGGUGGGGGAUGGGCUCGCGGCCUAUCAGCUUGUUGGUGGGGUGAUGGCCUACCAAGGCUUUGACGGGUAGCCGGCCUGAGAGGGUGACCGGUCACAUUGGGACUGGGAUACGGCCCAGACUCCUACGAGAGGCAGCAGUGGGGAAUAUUGCACAAUGGGCGAAAGCCUGAUGCAGCGACGCCGCGUGAGGGAUGGAGGCCUUCGGGUUGUAAACCUCUUUCGCUCAUGGUCAAGCCGCAACUGUGGGUUGUGGUGAGGGUAGUGGGUAAAGAAGCGCCGGCUAACUACGUG
rnacentral:rRNA from 1 species